rnacentral:rRNA from 1 species
CAAUAGCGUAUAUUAAAGUUGUUGCGGUAAAAAAGCUCGUAGUUGGAUUUCUACCGAAGAUAGCCGGUCGGGUCUUCGACCUUGUAUUUGGUUUUGUCUUUGGUAUCCUCAUAGGGAACGUUUCUGCGCUUUAUUGCGUGGUGCGGUAUCUAUGACUUUUACUUUGAGGAAAUUAGAGUGUUCACGGCAGGCAAACGCCUUGAAUAUAUUAGCAUGGAAUAAUAACAUAGGAUCUUCGUCCUAUUUUGUUGGUUUCUAGGGCUAAGAUAAUGAUUAAUAGGGAUAAUUGGGGGCAUCUGUAUCAACGCGUCAGAGGUGGAAUUCUUGGAUUGCGUUGCGACAAACUACUGCGAAAGCAUUUGCCAAGGAUGUUUUCAUUGA